rnacentral:rRNA from 1 species
CCUACGGGAGGCAGCAGUGAGGAAUAUUGGUCAAUGGACGAGAGUCUGAACCAGCCAAGUAGCGUGAAGGAUGACUGCCCUAUGGGUUGUAAAUUUCUUUUAUAUGGGAAUAAAACAGGGUAUGCAUACCCUCUUGUAUGUACCAUAUGAAUAAGGAUCGGCUAACUCCGUGCCAGCAGCCGCGGUAAUACGGAGGAUCCGAGCGUUAUCCGGAUUUAUUGGGUUUAAAGGGAGCGUAGGUGGAUUGUUAAGUCAGUUGUGAAAGUUUGCGGCUCAACCGUAAGAUUGCAGUUGAAACUGGCAGGCUUGAGUACAGUAGAGGUGGGCGGAAUUCGUGGUGUAGCGGUGAAAUGCUUAGAUAUCACGAAGAACUCCGAUUGCGAAGGCAGCUCACUGGACUGCAACUGACACUGAUGCUCGAAAGUGUGGGUAUCAAACAGGAUUAGAUACCCUAGUAGUC